CCUCUUUCCUUUUGAGCUCGAGUGCAUUUUCAUGCAUGGAAGCGACAUGUUUGGCCCAUCCGAGCAUCUUCAAUUUCAUCCGCCUAUCUUCAUCGGUCCCAAAACUCCUCCUCCGGCGAUUAUCCCGGGCGUCGAUGGCGGAGCUCGAUGCAUCCUCUUCGUCCAGCAGAUGAGGAGGCGGCGGCUCAGGUUUCGUCCCGAAAUCCGGCCAUUUGAUGCCGCAUUUUGUGUGGUCGACGCCCGCCAUCGCCAGUGCUUCGAUCGACAUAUGGCUUCUUUGAUAUCUCUGGACCUGCAAAGCGUUUCUUUUCCUUUGGGUGAUGUUGAGCAAGAGACUGAAUCG
rnacentral:lncRNA from 1 species